GUCGAUCGAGCUCUGGUAUUGAUUGGUGCUUGCAUCAUGAUUUACAUUUGAGUGAGUGGCGAACUGGUGAGUAACACGUGGGAAACCUGCCCAGAAGCGGGGGAUAACACCUGGAAACAGAUGCUAAUACCGCAUAACAACUUGGACCGCAUGGUCCGAGUUUGAAAGAUGGCUUCGGCUAUCACUUUUGGAUGGUCCCGCGGCGUAUUAGCUAGAUGGUGAGGUAACGGCUCACCAUGGCAAUGAUACGUAGCCGACCUGAGAGGGUAAUCGGCCACAUUGGGACUGAGACACGGCCCAAACUCCUACGGGAGGCAGCAGUAGGGAAUCUUCCACAAUGGACGAAAGUCUGAUGGAGCAACGCCGCGUGAGUGAAGAAGGGUUUCGGCUCGUAAAACUCUGUUGUUAAAGAAGAACAUAUCUGAGAGUAACUGUUCAGGUAUUGACGGUAUUUAACCAGAAAGCCACGGCUAACUACGUGCCAGCAGCCGCGGUAAUACGUAGGUGGCAAGCGUUGUCCGGAUUUAUUGGGCGUAAAGCGAGCGCAGGCGGUUUUUUAAGUCUGAUGUGAAAGCCUUCGGCUCAACCGAAGAAGUGCAUCGGAAACUGGGAAACUUGAGUGCAGAAGAGGACAGUGGAACUCCAUGUGUAGCGGUGAAAUGCGUAGAUAUAUGGAAGAACACCAGUGGCGAAGGCGGCUGUCUGGUCUGUAACUGACGCUGAGGCUCGAAAGUAUGGGUAGCAAACAGGAUUAGAUACCCUGGUAGUCCAUACCGUAAACGAUGAAUGCUAAGUGUUGGAGGGUUUCCGCCCUUCAGUGCUGCAGCUAACGCAUUAAGCAUUCCGCCUGGGGGAGUACGGCCGCAAGGCUGAAACUCAAAGGAAUUGAC
rnacentral:rRNA from 2 species